AGCAGUCGCCACGGUAAUACGGAGGGUGUAAGCGUUGUUCGGAAUUACUGGGCGUAAAGCGCACGUAGGCGGCUUGGUAAGUUAGAGGUGAAAGCCCGGAGCUCAACUCCGGAAUUGCCUUUAAGACUGCCGAGCUAGUAGGUGAGAGAGGUAAGUGGAAUUCCGAGUGUAGAGGUGGAAUUCGUAGAUAUUCGGAAGAACACCAGUGGCGAAGGCGGCUUACUGGCUCAUUCUAGACGCUGAGGUGCGAAAGCGUGGGGAGCAAACAGGAUUAGAUACCCGUGUAGUCCCUGUCUCUUAUAC
rnacentral:rRNA from 1 species